CAGCAGCCGCGGGAAAACGUAGAGUGCGAGCGUUAAUCGGAAUUACUGGGCGUAAAGCGUGCGCAGGCGGUUGUGUAAGACAGGUGUGAAAUCCCCGGGCUUAACCUGGGAACUGCGCUUGUGACUGCACAGCUAGAGUAUGGCAGAGGGGGGUGGAAUUCCACGUGUAGCAGUGAAAUGCGUAGAGAUGUGGAGGAACACCGAUGGCGAAGGCAGCCCCCUGGGCCAAUACUGACGCUCAUGCACGAAAGCGUGGGGAGCAAACAGGAUUAGAUACCCCUGUAGUCCCUGUCUCUUAUAC
rnacentral:rRNA from 1 species